GGAUCUGCGUCGGGAAAGUCGUAUUCCUGGUCGUAAUGCUGCGUCACCACCAACAGUGACUUGGUCCUGAGAGCAGUGAAUGCUGGGAUACAAUGCAGGGAUAACGCCUCCAUCAUGAACGCAGUUGGAUGCUGUGGCCUCCAGGGGCCGUAAGAUGUUUGAACCCCCCAGGUAUAUGACCGUGAGCCAGGCAGCUGAGCAGCUCCUGGAGAUGGAACAACACAGGAGGUAGCGUGGGGAUGACCUAGGUGAGUGGCUAACAUGCUGUACAUUAUGAAUUAGUGGUUACAGUUAUCCAGUCCCAUCCCUCAGCUUUAUAGUAAACCAUGUGGCAGGGCUGCCAUUUCGUUGUUAUUCGAAUGAAGUAGUGGGCCUUUAAUGUGAGCACACAUCAAAGCAAUACUACUGAUUUUGUCUCUCUCCCUCCCUCCAGCCAUCAGUGAGGUAUGCGUGGGUCUGGCCAGGGUGGGAGCCGAGGACCAGGCCAUCCACACGGGGAUGCUCCGCCAGCGGGCGUCAUGUGACCUGGGCGGCCCACUACACUCCAUGACCGUGACGGGUCACCUGCACCCGCUGGAGGAAGACAUGCUACGUCUGUCAGCCGCCACCCCCGACAUACUGCAGGACCUCCGCAUGACUGACAGCUCAACGUACAGCUCCUAAUGCACACACCCCAUCUCAAGACUGACUCUCAGGAUCUCUGAAGGUUCUCCACAAAGACAGUCUGAGACAGUUACACACAGGACCAUGUGUGGUAUAGGCCUACCAACUCUUCUCCAUACCGUUGAUGAACGACACUAACACACCAGUGGGUCUGGGUGAUGGGUCGACAUCAUGCCAUUAAGGAGAGCCAGUGAUUGCUUUAGGGUUAUUGUACACUGAAUACGCCAAUGUAUCGGGUAGUUUAAUCUCACUAUGGCCUUGGAACCAGGGUCACCAAAUGAUCUUGACGCUCGCUGGCCAUUUGUCAUAAAAUGUCUGCGUGAUUGAAGAGGAAAUGAAGAAAAAGUUGACGGAGGAACACAACUGCUCAGUAAGAUUAGUGUCUUGGUAAAGUGAAGCUGUCCUGUAUUCUUGUAUUAGAAAAUGACAAGGCAGACUUAAGGCAAAUGCAAUCAGUUAUUUUUGGGCCAGUUACCCAGACCCAGAUUAAGCCAAUUCCUGGACUUUAAAACCACUUUUUAAUGGAGAUUCUCCAAAGAGAAUGCUUUUAGGUGAUCAAAUUUCACAAUGUCUGGACAAGUUUUUGCUACUUCCUAUUAACGUUAUUUUCUUAAACAAUCUUCGGAGAUGCACAGCGCAAUUUCAAAAAAGAAACGCUAGCUGGAACCUGGAACACCAGCUACCUUUUUCUGGGCCUGUAAAACCAGCCUUAAGAGUAUGAGAUUUGGUAAAGUAAUUAUUUACAGAUAGGAAAUCAUGGAUGACACAUAACGGAGCAAUUUCCUUGUUUAAAGACAUGCACCACCUCUUCUGUCAAACAUAACAAUUAACAGUGGAACUGAACAAACAUUGAGAUGUACACAAGCUUUGCCAAACCUUUUCAAGGUGAAGUUUAAACUAUUAUCCCAUGUCAACCUUCAUUCCUGCAUCACCAAUAAUGAGAAAUAAUAUAAAAUGUGCAGUAAAAUCAUUUAUUACAUUUCAAAAGAUUGGAACUGGCCAACUGCAAACUUAAGACCAAUGAGGGCAAUGAAAUCAUGGGUUUUAGACUAACUUCAUUUUUACGUCUGUUUUAACCAUCCCCUUUGACAAGGUCAUACGCAGCUGUUCAUGGUUAAAAUAAAGCUGCUGUGUGCCGUCCAGGGAAUUUUUUCAAGCGUGGUCAAGAGGAAUUCUUACAACUUUCCCUUAGGAAAAAAUACCCUGACAACCCUCAAAAGGAUAUUGGAUCAAAGAUGGAACCAAAGGGUUGGAAUAAAAAGACCCAUGUCAUUCGUCUGAUUCCCUCCGGGUCUUGAAGGACAUGAUGAUUCCAGUCUCACAUACGUAAACGAAUGGCUUUCCACACGUGGAUAUGACUGAUUGUCCAUGAUUUGAGUCAAAAGGCACUUAAGAAACC